CCCCUCUCAGGGUCGCACCUGGAGAGUUUCCAGUACUCUACCAGUCAUGACUAGAGGAGAGAGAGUCAAACAGAGGCAUAUCCAUUCCAUUUUUAGCCUGGGCAGUGGCUAGUGAGUGGAAGGCAGUCUGCUACAAGU